UCGGGGUGCGCAGGCGCGAAAACUUUACAAUGCGGGAAACCGUGAUAAGGGGACACCGAGUGCCAGCAUCAUAUGCUGGCUUGUCCGGGUGUGUAAAAUACACCCGUUAGCAAGGGCCGGGCAAGACCGGUGCCAGCCGCCGCGGUAACACCGGCGGCCCGAGUGGUGAUCGUGAUUAUUGGGUCUAAAGGGUCCGUAGCCGGUUUGGUCAGUCCUCCGGGAAAUCUGACGGCUCAACCGUUAGGCUUUCGGGGGAUACUGCCAGGCUUGGAACCGGGAGAGGUAAGAGGUACUACAGGGGUAGGAGUGAAAUCUUGUAAUCCCUGUGAGACCACCUGUGGCGAAGGCGUCUUACCAGAACGGGUUCGACGGUGAGGGACGAAAGCUGGGGGCACGAACCGGAUUAGAUACCCGGGUAGUCCCAGCCGUAAACGAUGCUCGCUAGGUGUCAGGCAUGGUGCGACCGUGUCUGGUGCCGCAGGGAAGCCGUGAAGCGAGCCACCUGGGAAGUACGGCCGCAAGGCUGAAACUUAAAGGAAUUGGCGGGGGAGCAC
rnacentral:rRNA from 1 species